CGAAACAUUGGUCCGGGGUUCCUCGCGAAAGUGCGUUCUCACAUCGUGAAUCACUCGUUGCCAAUUCAUAUAUCCUCUUUUCAUAUAUUCGUCGCGAACACGACGUUUACGACCUAAUAUUGCGAAGAUAGUCUUCGCAUAAAAUCGAAAGAUAAUUUUACGCACUGUCCAAUCAUUGAUCCAAUUCAUUUCGGCUUAGAGUCACAGUUCUUCCUUUUUCAUUUUUCAUUUUCUAAUUCUAAUUUUUUAUCAAAUUUAGCGUUAAAUCAUCAUCAAAGUGUUGUUGAGAUUGCGACACUAUGUCUGGACCGAUAGAGAAGAAUCUGUUACAGAUAAUGAUAAUCCACAUGCGUCCAGAGGAUAUCAAUGCGCAGUUCGUGGACAUUAUAAUCAUCUUUUCGUCUUCUGUUCUUAUAUUCUUGAAGUUACCUAUCCACCGCAAUCAAAGUUUUCCUUUCAAUCUGUUUUGAAUCGACCAGUUGAUUGUAGCCUAUUUUUAAAGUUACUCCAUUAAAGCGGAAGUAUGAUGCAUAUGGAUGAUAAAGUGGACGACGUUUUUUUAUACAGAUGGUUGAUUUCAAUCUUUGGUAUUUUAGAGAAAAAUUGUAGUGCUGCGUUAUUGAUAGAAAAAUGCAAAGUUCUAGGUUAAUAAACAAGAUGCAAUAUGAAAAUUAAUUAUGGCUUGUAAAUGUGGAACAUAUUGAUAACCGUCGAGAAACGGUCAUAUUGAUGAACGUAUUAAUGAUUGUCGAUAAACGAUUGUAAUUUAUAAAGAUUAUUUCAAUUGUAGUCUGACAGCUAUAACGUAACUAUAUUGGGAUGUGGUUUUUGGUGUCAGCUUGAUGAAAAUAUUGAACACGUAUAUAGAUAAAUAAACUCUGGCUCAAAAAUUUCAGGAUACCUCGUAUUUAAUAAAAUGUGAUAUUUGGUGUAAAUUAUGAAUAUGUUAUGUAGUAGCGUAUAAUUCCUUUAUCAUAUCAAGUAUCGAGUUAAAUGAAUUGUUACAAGAUAAUUGAAUCAUAAUUUUUUCCAAUUAUGGUGCAAAUAUAUAAAUGUUCUAAUAAGUACAUACACAGAAAAAUACACACUAUAAUAGAGAUAAG
rnacentral:misc_RNA from 1 species